AACCUUGUACACACCGCCCGUCAAGUCAUGGGAGCCGGGAAUGCCCGAAGUCGCCACUUCUCAGUGGUGCCUACGGCAAGCUCGGUGACUGGGACU
rnacentral:rRNA from 1 species